UUCAGUUGGGCACUCUAGCGAGACUGCCGGUAAUAAACCGGAGGAAGUGGGGAUGACGUCAAGUCCUCAUGGCCCUUAUGGUAGGGCUUCACACGUAAUACAAUGGUCGGUACAGAGGGUUGCCAACCCGCGAGGGGAGCCAAUCCCAGAAAACCGAUCGUAGUCCGGAUUGCAGUCUGCAACUCGACUGCAUGAAGUCGGAAUCGCUAGUAAUCGCGGAUCAGCAUGUCGCGGUGAAUACGUUCCCGGGCCUU
rnacentral:rRNA from 1 species